rnacentral:rRNA from 1 species
AGAGUUUGAUCAUGGCUCAGGACGAACGCUGGCGGCGUGCCUAAUACAUGCAAGUAGAACGCUGACUACUUUAGCUUGCUAGAGUAGAAGGAGUUGCGAACGGGUGAGUAACGCGUAGGUAACCUGCCUACUAGCGGGGGAUAACUAUUGGAAACGAUAGCUAAUACCGCAUAACAGUGUUUAACACAUGUUAGAUGCUUGAAAGAUGCAAAUGCAUCACUAGUAGAUGGACCUGCGUUGUAUUAGCUAGUUGGUGGGGUAACGGCCUACCAAGGCGACGAUACAUAGCCGACCUGAGAGGGUGAUCGGCCACACUGGGACUGAGACACGGCCCAGACUCCUACGGGAGGCAGCAGUAGGGAAUCUUCGGCAAUGGGGGCAACCCUGACCGAGCAACGCCGCGUGAGUGAAGAAGGUUUUCGGAUCGUAAAGCUCUGUUGUAAGAGAAGAACGUGUGUGAGAGUGGAAAGUUCACACAGUGACGGUAACUUACCAGAAAGGGACGGCUAACUACGUGCCAGCAGCCGCGGUAAUACGUAGGUCCCGAGCGUUGUCCGGAUUUAUUGGGCGUAAAGCGAGCGCAGGCGGUUUAAUAAGUCUGAAGUUAAAGGCAGUGGCCUAACCAUUGUUCGCUUUGGAAACUGUUAAACUUGAGUGCAGAAGGGGAGAGUGGAAUUCCAUGUGUAGCGGUGAAAUGCGUAGAUAUAUGGAGGAACACCGGUGGCGAAAGCGGCUCUCUGGUCUGUAACUGACGCUGAGGCUCGAAAGCGUGGGGAGCAAACAGGAUUAGAUACCCUGGUAGUCCACGCCGUAAACGAUGAGUGCUAGGUGUUAGGCCCUUUCCGGGGCUUAGUGCCG